GGAUCAGUACGCUGGUCGUGCCUUUGGUAUGUACUGGUGUCACUGAUUCCUCCCUUCUGAAGAACCGUUAUGCCAUUUAUUUGGUGUUGCGGGGAAUUUGGACUGUUACUUUGAAAAAAUUAGAGUGUUUAAAGCAAGCUAACGCUUGAAUACAUUAGCAUGGAAUAAUGAAAUAGGACGUUCGAUCCUAUUUUAUUGGUUUCUAGGAUUGACGUA
rnacentral:rRNA from 1 species